CUUCUCAAGAGCUCCCCAACAUUCCUCCAAAGUCAGAUGGUGACCCCUCUGAACCUCCUGUUGGCCAGACUCAAAGGAAGAGGAAACACUCAGGAAGGGAUGGAGAGAUGGACAGAGCUGAAUGAAGAAUGCCUGUGGGGAGCACAGAGACAAGCAGAGGACUAUGGAAGGCCAGGAGCAGGAGACCUGUGGGCCUGGUGAGCUGCACAGACCUCUGCACUCCGUGGGAUUCCCAACAGGCCUCGCGCCAAGCUCCCAGGGUUACUCUGAGGUCUGCCUAUGUUGAGGAUCAGAGCUCUGAAUUCUCAGCCUGCCUUAAUUUGCUGUGGGACUAUCCAGGAUUCCAGGGACUCACGGAUCCUAGCCUGCUAAAGUCACUGAAGACUCUGCCUCACACGGUCCUGGGUUGUUCUUCCAAGUCACCUUCUUAGACCCAGCGAUGCAAGGCUUGUCCCCCACAAGUGAGCUCCAGCUCCUGAGAUCUUCAGGGCUCCUGCACG
rnacentral:lncRNA from 1 species